GGGACAGAAGAACAGUGGAGAGGAGGUUAGAAAAAUGAAGGGAGAGCCAAAUCAAGUAGGACCUGCUAGAUAUUACAUGGAUAUCCACCUGUUUGUCAAUAUCUCCUUUCAAGGGUUCCUCACAGAAGGUUUAAUAUCCUGGUGUAGAGCCCCUAGAUAUGAGCCACUUCCACAAUGAUCUACACUUUUGGAAUGGAUAAAUACCAGUUUUAGUCAUCUAUAAAUAUUCAAGCAUUAUGGAGAAUGACAG